UACCCUUCACUUUGUAUUUCAGAUGUGAAUUGCAAGUCCAGGUUAUCACCUAUAAUUCUGAUCAACCAGCUACAGAUCAGAGGUUCCAAGGACCCCUCCUUGGGUUUGAUUCACUUACUAGAGCAACUCACAGAACUCAGAGAAACAUUUUACUUACUAGAUUACUAGUUUAUUAUAAAAGUAUAUAACUCAGGAACAGUCAGAUGGAAAAGAUGCAUAGAGCAAAGCAUGCGGGAAAGGGCAUAGGGC